rnacentral:lncRNA from 1 species
ACUGGAGCAGGAAGUCGGCCUGUGGCCGGCCAUGUUCAUGAGGGCGCGUCCCUUGGCACCCCUGUAGCCGCUAUGUUUCCCACGCCCGUGGCAGGCCUGAGAGAUUAUGUUUGCGGGGGGUGCUUUUUUUGUAGCUUCUGUGUUCGCCAUAUUUGAAAGGGGCAGACGGCCAUGUUCGUGAACGGCGCUUCCCUUGGUGCACCUGUGGCCGCCAUGUUUGAGCGAGGACCCCGUGGCAGGCCAGGACCGUUUCUCCGGUGCUAUCCCAGAGCAUGGCGCAUCCACUCAUUCACUCAAGCGUCUCUGAAUUGGGAUGCAUCUGACAGCAAGUGUGGCAUCCGGGCUGCAGUUGCCGUUGUCUGCUCACAUGUGAAUUAAAAAAACAAUCUCAGCAUAUGAAAUCUCUAAUCGCGUAUGAACUUGGUGGUUAUUCCUGGUGCCGUGUGGAUAACUGCAGCCUCAACACCCCAGUCCACAAACCACGUACGGACCAACUGAGGAAGGAGUAGGGGUUCUUGUUGUUGCAGAAAACCCUCCCUCAACUUGCUCUAGAAGAUACCAGCAUUCAUACUUGGAGUGGGCAUCAGCAGCUUGGAAGACACAGCAGUGGGCCCCUCUUAGCAGGAGUGCCCCAUCUCAUGGCUCCCGACGACGACCCAGAGGGUGAUGCUGCGUAGGGGCUCACGGACAUUGGCACUCUAAGUCAGAGAUGCUCAGGUGAAGGGGGCUCUGAUGGUGAGGACAUUCAGAAAUAACAGAGAUUGGCUGGGUACGGUGGCUCACACCUGUAAUCCCAGCACUUUGGGAGGGAAGCCGAGGCAGGUGGAUCACUGGAGGUCAGCCUGGCCAACAUGGUGAAACCCCGUCUCUACUAAAAAUACAAAAAUUAGCUGGGCGUGGCGGCAUGUGUCUGUAAUCCCAGUUACUCGGGAGGCUGAGGCAGGAGAAUUGCUUGAACCUGGGAGGCAGAGGUUGCAGUGAGCCAAGAGUGCGCCACUGCACUCCAGCCUGGGCAACAGAGCGAGACUCUUUGUCUCAAAAAAGAAAAAAAAAAGAAACAACAGAGACUUAUUUUACUUAUGUUUUCCUCUUUUCUGUGUGUAUAAUGAGAGAAAUUAGGAUGCCAAAAAAAAAAGAAAAGAAAAGAAAAGAAAAACCAAGGCCUUCUAAGUCUAUAAAAAUUUUUUAAGUAAUUUUUUUUUUUUUUAAGAGACAGGGUCUUGCUCUGUAGCCCAGGCUGGGGUGCAGCAGUGCAAUCCCAGCUCACUGCAGCCUUGAGCUCCUGGGCUCAAAUGAUCCUCCCACGUUGGCCUCCCAAAGCAUAACACAUUUUAAAAUAAAAUUAUAGAUAAUAAGAAAGCAUUGUGUUAAAGUUUAAUUGGCAGCAUUUUAAAUUCUUUCUUACUGAGUUCCAGUUUUAAGCUCAGCUCUGCAGGUAAACAGCGGCACAAACCUGAUUGCAUUGCCUGGUCCCUCUGAGCCUCGGUUCCCUUAUCUGACAGCAGGGCUGUAUCUAUUCUAGCUCUCUGGGUUGCAGGUGAUGAGGAGAAGCAACCCUAAUCGGCUGAAGCCAAAGAAAGGACUUCAGAUCUCGUAACUGCAAAUCCUGGGGUCUAGCCUCAUAACUGCAAAUCCUGGGGUCUAGCCUCCCUCUCUGGUUCUUGUCACCUCCUCGUGGGCUUCAGUCCCAAGUUCCAGAUCGGGGCAAGACAUGGCCGAAGCCCAGGGCCCGCAUCCUCCCAGAUUCCAGCCACCUGGGAGUGUGUCUGUGGUCCCUGGUCUCUGACGAGGUCCUGUGCCCUGCCAUUGGUUCCAGGGGACUGCCGGAGCUGAUGGGUCAGGCCUGCACUGGAGCUGGGUGGAGUUGGCUCCAUCCUGAGGUUACCCCUAUGCCAGAGGGGCAUGGGUGGUUCCCAGGGUAGGGAAAGUGUGUGCUGGGUACCCAGACAUCGAAGCCUACUGUGCCUCCUUCUGUGACAAGGCAUGUGUCAUGUGUUGCUCCAGGAUGGGCAUGUACUCAUAGAUGGGGCUCAACAGGUUGAAUUCUCCUUUCCCUCCUUUCCUCUGGCUUAUGGUCAUCCACUCUUUGGAGCUAGCCAGGCCAAGUUGGAGGAUGCAAAGGUGAAUGGGGACACUGGCAUUCCAAAGGGGACCCGAUAUAGUUUGGCUGUGUCCCCACCCGAAUCUUACCUUGAAUUCCCAUGUGUUGUGGGAGGGACCUGGUGGGAGGUGAUUGAAUCAUGGGGGCAGGUCUUUCCCAUGCUGUUCUCAUGAUAGUGAAUAAGUCUCAUGAGAUCUGAUGGUUUUAUAAGGGGGAGUUUCCCCACAUAAGCUCU